rnacentral:rRNA from 1 species
ACCAACAGGGAUUGCCCUAGUAACGGCGAGUGAAGCGGCAACAGCUCAAAUUUGAAAUCUGGCUCUUUCAGAGUCCGAGUUGUAAUUUGCAGAGGGCGCUUUGGCGUUGGCAGCGGUCCAAGUUCCUUGGAACAGGACGUCACAGAGGGUGAGAAUCCCGUACGUGGUCGCUGGCCUUCGCCGUGUAAAGCCCCUUCGACGAGUCGAGUUGUUUGGGAAUGCAGCUCUAAAUGGGAGGUAAAUUUCUUCUAAAGCUAAAUACUGGCCAGAGACCGAUAGCGCACAAGUAGAGUGAUCGAAAGAUGAAAAGCACUUUGGAAAGAGAGUCAAAUAGCACGUGAAAUUGUUGAAAGGGAAGCGCUUGCAGCCAGACUUGCCUGUAGUUGCUCAUCCGGGCUUUUGCCCGGUGCACUCUUCUGCGGGCAGGCCAGCAUCAGUUUGGGCGGUUGGAUAAAGGUCUCUGUCAUGUACCUCUCUUCGGGGAGGCCUUAUAGGGGAGACGUCAUGCAACCAGCCUGGACUGAGGUCCGCGCAUUUAUGCUAGGAUGCUGGCGUAAUGGCUGUAAGCGGCCCGUCUUGAAACACGGACCAAGGAGUCUAACAUCUAUGCGAGUGUUUGGGUGUCAAGCCCGAACGCGUAAUGAAAGUGAACGGAGGUGGGACCCCAUUAGGGUGCACCAUCGACCGAUCCUGAUGUCUUCGGAUGGAUUUGAGUAAGAGCAUGGCUGUUGGGACCCGAAAGAUGGUGAACUAUGCUUGAAUAGGGUGAAGCCAGAGGAAACUCUGGUGGAGGCUCGCAGCGGUUCUGACGUGCAAAUCGAUCGUCAAAUUUGGGCAUAGGGGCGAAAGACUAAUCGAACUAUCUAGUAGCUGGUUCCUGCCG